CAGCUACCCAGUCUCUAGUAUUGAAACUUUUCCUGGAUCAGCAAUCGCGCACCUGUCCUUUGUCUUCAGCCUCCGUCCACUCCCUGAUUUUACACAGUCUGUGACCAAGCCCCAGGCAGCACCUCCCUCCUGAGUUUUGUUUCCGGCGCGGCUUUUUUUUCCCCACCCCUAACUUUGAGGGACUGCGGCUUUGACCCAUUCUGCCCCUCUGCGGAGGGUCUCACCGAGCAAUGGCCGUGUGCCGGCUGCACCCAGGAACGUUUGCGGUCCAUGCUGCUGCCGAUGUCCUGAGACUGCGGCUGGGUGCCAGCCCGACCCAGAAAAAGUUCGCGAGACAGUGUAGCAGCAGCGUUUCAGGGAUUAUGGAAAAUCACAACGCACAUCUGGCAUCAGGCUUCACCCACAACGACCCUGUUCCAGCACCAGCGAAUGUGGUUGUUCUCUGGGGUCUGCUGGGGUCUUUGUGACUGUGGGCAGCCACAGUCUCCGCCAGAUGUCCUCCCAGCAAGGGAACCGCCUGUCCCGUGUGGCCCGAGGACCGCCCGGACCCCACUCUGCUCCUGGGGAUUCGCCCUUCCCACCAGAGCACCGCCAGGAUUCCUCCCAAGUUCAACUUGGUAGAAAGGAGGCAGUACAUUGAAAUAACGUAGACGUCAAUUUGUCAGUUCAGCAGAGAUGACUGGGCAAUCUCCAACCUCAGCAAGGCUGCUGGGCUGGCUAUGGGAUCACCGUCCUGCCCAGCUCCAUCUCUGAUGCUGGGUGACAAUUAGAGCAUGGACAAGCACAUGGGAACUACAACAAAAGUGUCAAAGAUUAGAGAAAUCAGAGAAGUUCUGAGAAGGUCAGAUUUGAGCAGCAUCUUGAGAGUCGUGGGUUAUGACCUGAUUAAUAGAAAUCUCAUGAAGGGU